rnacentral:lncRNA from 1 species
ACUUGUGUUUUUUUUUCUUGUUGUGCACUCAGAUAUACACUAAGUAAUGCAUUUAGAAAAGUCAAAAUAUCUUAUAAUUUGGAAACCAGUACAGUAUGACAAGUGGCGUUCUUUUAAUUGUUAUUAUGAAAAUGUUCUUUUCCAUGAAGCACACAUAACACAUACCGAAUUACCGAUCAAUCUGUCUCCACUUGACAAGAAAUAUUCUCUUUUCCAAACAGGUUACAGGUCCACAUCAUUAAGGUAUGACAUAGUUGCAGAAACACCACUGCACAUAUGUGAAAACUGAAAGUUAGGGCUCAAGGGGCGACUGUGUUUUGCUAGUCAACGGCUAAGUUGAUGUGUGAGAUCCAACUCAGCUCACGGAUCUGGCCAGGCAAGACUUGCUUUCCAAUGUCCCAAACUCUGUUCAUGCCUAGCUGAUAUCCCCAUCUGUUCCCAUGAGGUUGCACAAUUCCUUCCAGCAUUAGCAUCACCAAUCACUAGCCUGCUACCACAGACAAACAAGCUGGAGUAUCUAGGAGAGACAGGCAGGGGAGAAGCAAUUGCAGACCAUGCAGUGAGCUUGGCCAAGUCGGUGGAGGGGGCUGUGACCAAGGCACUGGCGGCAAUUGAGGAGGAGGCAACCCUGAGGAAGAGCACGCAGAAUGACCUGGCAUUCAUCACUGGUGAGUUCCAGAUGAUGCAAUCCUUUCUCAAUGUCGCAGACGAGGAACGCGCCAGGAACAACGUGGUGAGGACCUGGGUGAGACAGGUCCGUGACCUCGCCUACAACGUGGAGGACUGCAUCGAGUAUGUGAUCCACCUGGACAAGGCAUCAGACUGACGCUGCCGCUGCCUCCCAGGCUUCAUCAGGCCCGAGCUGCCGCUGGACAAGGCGAUUGCUGAGAUAAAGCUGCUCAAGAUCAGGGUUGAGGAGGUGAGCCUUCGGAACAUGCGCUACAACCUCAUCAGUGAUUCAGGUUCCAAGCCCAUCAUGCAGCAACAGUUGGUGCCUGGUGCUUCUGUUGGUGCCACAACAUUUGACAUGCUCAUCAAAGCAAGAGAUACCACAAAGAUGCAACGAGGAUUAGGAGAUCUAACUAAGCUGUUGAUCACCAAGAAACCCAGUGGCAACCUUGGACUCGGGGUGAUCUCGUUGUGGGCGGCAGAUGGUAAUGCUAAUACCACACCCGUCAUCAGGGAGGCCUAUGGCGAACCAGAAGUAUUUGAAAGCUCCGGACAUCGUGGCUGGGCAAAGCUGAUGCAUCCUUUCAAUCCCCACGAGUUCCAGUUCCAGCGGAGUUUGCUGAUUCAGUUCCACACAAACUCUUGCCUACACAACAAACUGGGCGUAGACGUAGGUACACUCAAGAGAUUGGGAGUGGCUGCAGAAGGCGAACUUAUUGAAGAGUUCAUGGAUCAAAUGAAGAAGUGAUACCUGGUUGUCCUGGAAAAUGUUUCCAGUAUGGUAGAGUGGGACACUGUCAGAGCAUACCUGCCUGAAGCGAAAAACGACAGUUGGGUCAUCAUCUCCUCGCAGCAAUCUGAAGUCGCCGGGCUGUGCGUUGGAGAUCCAUGGCAAGUGUUUGAACUUAAGCAGUCCUCAGCUGAACACUCUGUAUGUGUCUUCUUCAGGGAGGUAAGCAGCUGAAACACGAUGGAAUAACUUUCUGGAAAAAAUGGCCUUAAUCUCUUUUGUUCUUCUUUUGGACAUCAGUAGUUUCCUGUAAACAACAUUGAUUUACAUAUUCUAAUCAUAUGCUAGAAAAAAUUAAUUUAAAACUAUUGAUAGAUAUAGAAGUACUUUGAUUAAAAAUGUACAGUAGCAGUUCUACUUAUGUUGCUCAUCACCAGUGAAAUUGAAACUGUGAAAACCUUGGGGCUGGCUGUGCAAAAGUGCAGACAAUGGUAGCCACUGGUAUAUUUAUCAUUAACAAAAGCACCCCCCCCCCCCUCUACACAGACGCAUGCACACGCACACACAAUGAGACUGAUUCCCCAUAGGGAAUAACAGAGAUAUGUUUAGGAGAAAGUAGUGGAAUAAACUCUUAUAUUUGUUCAGUGAAAUCAGCAAAUCCCAACUCAUAAUGUAACAGUUGACACAGGAUUCAGAAACUGUGCCAUCCCUCAAAUGUUUGUUGCAUGUUGCAUUAAUUCCUCAUCCGAAGGUGCACAUGUACCCCUCCCCUUAAAUUUUCUGUAUUUUCAGGGUUCUCAAGGCGACAUAGAUAAAAGCAAGCAAACCACUAUGGUGAUGGCUAAAAAAUAAUGAGGCGUCAUCAUCAAUGGGUGUCCAAAACAAUGCUGAUAUGUUGAUUGGUCGAUACCCCCUAGUUGAAGUACACAAUUCACAGAUGAAAGAUCUUCGUGGCUAUUUAGCCAGAGCAUGUGUUAAUGGUUUUCCUGUGAUAUCUGUGUGGGGGAUAGCUGGUGUUGGGAAAUCAGCUCUAGUCAGGAACUUAUACUAUGACAGAAUGAAUGACAGUGCCACCAGAAUAUUUACCAUGUACAGUUGGGUGGAUGUAUCACAUCCAUUCAAUUUAAGGAACUUGGCUUGGAGCUUACUUUCAGAACUUCAGUCAGAUUCUCAUCAGCAAAAUGGAAUCAGCAAUCCCAUUCAAGAUUGUCAUGAGCUUCUGGAGAAGCAUAGCUGCCUUUUCAUUAUAGAUAGUUUGCAAUCCACAGAAGAGUGGGACCUAAUACGUCAUUCCUUGGUAUCUACGCAUUCUAGAAGCAUCAUCGUUGUGCUUACAACUGAAGCAAGCAUAGCCAUACAUUGUGCAAAUCGAGAAGAGGCAAUGUAUAAUGUCAAAAGUCUAGAAGAUGACGAAGCAUGUGAUCUCUUCAAAAAGGAGGUGUGUUUUCAUACAAGAUACUUGCCUAUUCUCUUGGUUUAUACAUCUUGAUGCUCAAAUUCAAUAGUUAGUCUAUGAUUUCUCACCCCCAGCCCCCCCCCCCCCCCCCCCCUUGCCUCCCUCCACCGGGAGAAUGUUUUGCAAAACAUGAAAAAUGAUGUGAACAUUUUCUUUUGCACCAAUGUAGUUUUAUCCAAGUUUUUUUUCCCUGUUGUUAUGGUUAUCCGGACUUCUUAUAAAAGACGCAGAAUGAUCUUAUCCAAGUCUUCAGAAAAUGUACUUUAGUAUGCUUAACAAAACUCCAUAUCCAUAUGGUAUGAUAAAAGUUCAGAACAAUUCUAGGACCAUGAAUAAAAAAAUUCUCUAUUAAAGAAUUAUAUAUUCAGUAGUAUUGAUUUUAUAAACAAAUAGACAAAUUACAAUCAUACUAUCAAUAUAGAUAUGUCACAAUAUUUCAACAAAACUAUAUUUUUUUCUAAAUAAAAACUGACAGAUUAUAACAGACAACAAGCUGCGAUCCACAAUUUGAAGGAUGAAACAAACAGGGCCUUGCACAUGUAAUUUUUCCAAUUUUUCAAUGAGUUUAUGCAUGCUAACAGCACAAACUAAAACCAAAUCUAAAGUGUGAUUAGUUGAUACAAUAAUUAUUACUUUUCUUUUCUCAAACAAUGUUGGAGAGCUGCAUGUCAUUUCAUUAAGAAGGAAAAUAUAAUAAUUAUUACUAAUAUAACUUCUUUUCAAUAAUAUAGGUAGGGAAAUUUCCAGAUUCAUCUGCUUUAAGGGAUUCUGAAGAUCCCAAGCUACGAAAACUUAUUUCCAAGUGUGGCGGACUUCCCAAAGUAAAAGUUGCUGUAGCUGACUUUUUGGCACCCAUGACAGUCAGCUGGAUGAAAACUGCAAUGAAUCUUAGUGACAGAUUUAUGCAUGAUCUAGAGACCAAACCAGAAUUUGACAACCUGCGUGGACUGUGGAUGCAUUCCUACUUCCGUACUUGCCCAGAUUAUCUUAAGCCCAUGUAUCCUCUACCUAUCCAUUUUCCCGCAAGGCCAAAGCAUUCAACGAAGGCGUCUAGUGAGGCGGUGGAUCGCAGAGGGUUGCUCGAGGGACACAUCCAACAGGUCAGCUGAGGAUAAUGGGGAAAAAUUCUUCUUGAUGCUCCUUGAUCUGAGUAUCAUCCAGCAGACACCACAUUCAGUCACAACUGCAGAUACAAGAAUGGUCUUGUGCCAAGUUAACGGCUUCUUCCGUGAGUACAUCAUAUCAAGGCGAAAGGAUGAGGACAGGUGCACAUUGACCAGUCAACGCACAGGACAGCACCUUGUCAUAAAGGAAAACUGGGACAGAGACAAGAUUGUGUUCAGUAGUAUUGACUUUUCAAGGCUACGCUCCCUCGCUGUGUUUGGACAGUGGAAGCCUUUCUUCAUCAGUGAAACUAUGAGGGUGCUCCGGGUGCUUGAUCUCGAGAAUUCAACAGGUGUGACAUAUAAAUACCUGGAGCAGAUGAUGAAGCUGCUUCCUCGCCUCAAGUUCCUCUCUCUGAGAGGAAUAAGAGAGAUCUACUAUCUGCCAGGCUCAUUUGCUGGUCUGAGGCAGCUUGAAACUCUGGAUGUCAGGGGCACCUCCAUAGUCACUUUGCCACCAUCCAUCACCAAGCUUACCAAGCUGCAGUACAUCCGUGCUGGCACAGCUAAGGAACCAUCAGUACCAUAUGCUCAUUUCUCUUGGUUGCCUAGCUGCUGUAGAUCUUGUCAUGUAGGUGUUAUUAAGGUGCCUGCAGAGAUUGAUAAACUUACAGCCUUGCACACUCUUGGUGCUGUCAACAUUGGUUUUUCAGGGGGAGAGGCCAUCCUGAAAGAGCUCAAGAAGCUCACUCAAUUGCACAAGCUCGAAGUGACCGGCAUCAACAAGAAAAACAGCAAAGAGUUCUGUUCCACCAUCUCAGACCACGUUCAUUUGGAAUCCUUAUCAGUUUGGCUCUGCAUGGGCAAUAACAAACCAUGUUUGAAUGACAUGUUCUGGCCUCCGCAGAAACAUCUGGAAAAACUUCAGAGCCUUAAACUAUAUGGUCUUGCAAAAGUGGUGCCACCAUGGAUCAAAGAUCUUGCUAAACUCACAAAGUUACAUGUGAAUAUGGCCAUAUAAAAAAUGUUAACAUAAGUGAAGUUCUUGGGGAAAUAAAAGGACUAUGUAUUCUGCGUCUUGAUAUCAGGCCACUUGAAAAUGGUGAUGGUGACCUUAACUUCUGUGUCAAGGUGAAUGGAGUAGAGCAGCAGUUAUUUGAACGUCAGGAUACUUGAGAUUGCUUGUAACUCUGAGUUAAAUGUAUCCUUUGGAUCAUUAGCAAUGGAAAAUCUGCUGACAGCUAAAUGCUGUGGGUCGGCAGUGAAGUUUGCUGAGCUAAAGAGUCUCUCUAAAGGAAAACUCCAGGAGGUGCGGUAUUUGGGUUCCUUUAACAAAACAGAUAAGGUGGACGUGGAGAAUCAACUUAGCCAGCAUCCUAAGACACCUGCUUUGAAACUGGAGGAACCAUGUUUGUCCUGAUGCAUACUGACAAUCGGUCUGCUGCUUGCUGAUUCUGGCACCAGAGCAGGACCAGGACUAAAUGACUGGUGUUUUUCAUUUAAACCUUCCCGAUUCAUUUACCUACACUCUAGGCAUUUGAACUAAAACAUCUGCGUCCAUGGCAGUGUAAAGAUAAUUGUUGCUUCUCGAUGUCAAAAUCUACUUGGAGAAAACUAAGGGGUGAACAUAUAUAGCAAAAAUGCUGAAUUGACUCGAGUGUGUUUACUCUGUACUGCAAAAGUUUUAUGCAUCUGUGGUAUAUAAUGGACGUGUGCAUUGACACUGUAAUUCAAUUAUCUUAUUUUAAUUUCAUGCUUGCUGUCCCCUGAUUCCUUGCGUGAUAUUCUGUAGAUGUCGUCUCUCAUAGUUUCUUAUUACUGGUUCAUGUUAAUUCCAGGUCUCAUGGAGUUGAUAUGUCGAUGUGCCUAAAGUUUUGACCAAUUGUAGGAACCGAUCUUUCUCCAUUAGAGUACACGAUCUCUUGUGCUAGGUGCUAUGCACAUCUGAUUUGUGCUAGUCCAUCAAAACGUGCUCCUGCACAGGCAAGUAAUCCUAAGCGACAAGGAUAAAUGUGAUACCCAUAGCUAACCAGAAUUGCAUAUCUUUUUUUUACAUUUGUUCUUAUUUUAAUACUUUCUCAUCUUUGUCUGGUUGUAAUAGAGUUUAGCACCAACUAAAUAUAUGCUUUCCUAUGCCCAUUCAUAGUUUUUCACUUUUCUAUCACACAUCGAUGCGUGUGUGACAUAUGUUUAGUUCAGACUUACGUUACAUCCAUUGCUUCAUACAUACAAGUAUACAUGGUGUAACAAAGAUCAUAAAUCUAUGUGUUGAGUUGGGCCUUGUUUAGAUGCGAAAACUUUUUGGAUUUCACUACUGUAGCACUUUUGUUUGUUUGUUUGUGACAAAUAUUGUCCAAUCAUAGACUAACUAGGGUUAAAAGAUUCGUCUCGCGAUUUACAGUCAAACUGUGUAAUUAGUUUUUGUUUUUGUCUAUAUUUAAUACUUUAUGCAUGUGUUGCAAGAUUCGAUGUGACGGAGAAUCUUGAAAACAUUUUGGUUUUUGGGGUGAACUAAACAAGGCCUUAGUUUUUUCCCCCUAUAUUAAUAAUGGCUGAAGAUGGCAAGUAGGAAAAACAAUUACUUGGGGACAUUAUCUUUAAAAUGACGAGGCAGGCAUUUAGAUCCAUAUGUCUUCCUUUAUUUAAUUUAUUUUUACUAAUGGUGGAAGCCAGUGACUUGUAUGAGAAUUUAGAAGACUACUAUAGAUUAUUUUUCAUAAUUUUAUAAUGUUAGGAACAUUAGGGGCACCAUAUAUUGACCAAUGCCCAUGACAAAAAUCUGAAUUUUAAAGUGCACCAUAUAUGAAAUCAUAUGUGGCACAGAGGCUGUUUGGACCUAGAAGUCUUGGGUUUCUUUAGUAAACUUUAAUUUUCCAAGGACAAGGCUAUCUAAAAAUUCCCAUCUCACUGGCCCAGUAAACUGCAAGCAAUGUUUCUCAGAGAAGCAACACGCAAGGUUACAAGUUAAGCAUCAACAAGUAAACUAGAUCUAGAAUAAAUAACAGACCCUCUUGUCUACGAAGCACGAAACAGAGGAACAACUUCCAAUCCGCAAAUCCCAUCUCCUGUACCCUCCCCUGCUUGCUUUGUAAAAGGGAAAAAAAGAGCAAGAAUUUAGUAUACCUUGGGCCAGAAGGACGUACUGGGGCAACAGGAAGAUGCGAUGCGACGCGACGUGCAGGUGUGGACGCCCUUCCGCCUCUUGAAGCUCAAUCUGCUAGUCUGCUACCGGAUUCCGUGGACAGGGGCUGCAGUGUCAUGGCUUAGUUGUGCUCGGCGGCUGUGGGGAUUCCGUGGAGUAGCGAGAGCGGAAUCUGGGGAGGGUGUUGAGCACCGUUGGCGGACGCUGGGACUGGGAAUUGGGGAACGCCGGCCGGCGGCGGGGCCCUGUAUUGCCUGGCCUGCGCAGCAACUCCAGCAACGCUGAAAGCGCACGAGCUAACCAAUUUCUCAAAGCAAACAACAGCCCGUUGAGGCUCGUGGUGAUGGUACUCGAGUUUAACUCUAGACAACUAUGAGGAAGAUGGUUUUUCAUGUAUGCCAUUAACCAAGAUGGUCCCUUACUCCAUACCAUUAAAAAGUUAGAACCGGCCAAA